UGCACUCCAGCCUGGGCGACAGAGCGAGACUCUGUCUCAAAAAAAAAAAAAAAAGCAAGAUGAAUGAGGCUUUCUGGUCCAGCGCCACCCAAGCUGGAAGCAGCCUCCAGGGGGCCCCACCCCAAGCACACGGGCAUCUCCACAACGGCUGCCUCCAGGAGGGGCAAGUGGCCAGGGCUGGGCUGUUGGGCCUUUUCCACUUGGAAUCACAUGCGUGGUCUCCAUUAAAAAAGGAACCAAUGUCCGGGAUCUGGACACGGAGGGAGGCUGUGGGAGGCUGUACAUGCACAGCAGCAGAGAAUACACGGAAACCUAAGACUGCUCUCAAAACUAGUCUAUCUUAAAACUAAUUAUUAGCCUGAAGAAACAGUUUCUCAGAAGAACCUAACAAGCUUCUCCGGACCUGUGAAGCCUUGUCUUUCGUCUAGAGAAUCCUGCCACCCAUCUCAGGUGCUCAACAUCCUCGCUGACCUUCACCUAGCAGCCCCUCACUUCCAGGCAGAAGUAAUGGAGCCAUCACGCGACACGCACCCUUUGGUCACAGAGCCACAUGCGGACGUGACACGUUCUGCAACCGGGCCUGGCCGAUAGGGAGUCCCCAACCAAGGUCAGCACCCAAUUCUCUCUCACUUCCCAAAAGCUCUGACAGAGAGUGCACACCUUUCCUUCUCCUCUUCAAACCACAAUGAUGCAGCCCAGAGGCAGCCAGCUAGGUGUGGAGCCCAGAUAAUUUGGAAAUCGAUAACCGGGAACACUACCCCCAUGUGUCACUCUUAACUCCCACUCGGUAGGGAGUGCUGCCCUAGCUGAAGUCAUCUUUAGCUCUGCAUGUCUGAGAGCAUGAACACACCCAGACAGGCUGCCAGACGGCCGUCCUCAGACACACGCAGCCCGUGACCUGGACAGGCUGCCAGACGGCCGUCCUCAGACAUACACGGCCCAUGUGAGGGGACUCUAGCCCGCUCUUCCCGAUGAAGCAGACACGACUCCAGGCUCCGUGUGAACAGAGGCUGCACCAGGAAAGGGGCUGUCACCACGGCCCCGGGGCCCUGUGCUGAGGAUUAAAGGCAGCAGCACCUGUAGAGGACCCAGCUCCUAAGUAUGUUUCUGUCCAAGCCUCCCCUAUGGGAGCCCACAUGGCCCCACCAAGUCCCAGUCACACCCGGGGUUUCCCAGUCGGGCUCCUUUUCACCCACUCAUCAGGGGAGGCAAAGUUUGCUAUAAAGCAAGAGGCAGUAAAUAGUUUAGACUUUGUGGGCUGUGGCUCUCUGUGAAGACAACACAGCCCUGCCACUGUUCAUACAAAAGCAACCACAGAUAAUGUGUAAAUAAGUGAGUGUGGCUGCGUUCCAAGAAAAUUUAAUUAAUUUAUGGACACUGAAUUUUAAAUAAUCUUUGUAUGUCAAUAAAUACUCGCUUUCUGA